GAGCAGGGGUCCUCAAACUCCGGCCCCUUCAGAUGUUGCUGAACUACAACUCCCAUGAUUCUCUGGCUAUCUAUGUAAUUCAAAGAAUCAUGGGAGUUGUAGUUCAGCAACAUCUGGGGGGCAGGAGUUUGAGGACCCCUGCUC
rnacentral:miRNA from 1 species